GCAGAGCGCAAGCUUAAACAUGCAAGUCGAGCGCCCCGCAGGGGAGCGGCAGACGGGUGAGUAACGCGUGGGAAUCUACCCUUUUCUACGGAAUAACGCAGGGAAACUUGUGCUAAUACCGUAUAAACCCUUUGGGGGAAAGAUUUAUCGGGAAAGGAUGAGCCCGCGUUGGAUUAGCUAGUUGGUGGGGUAAAGGCCUACCUAGGCGACGAUCCAUAGCUGGUCUGAGAGGAUGAUCAGCCACAUUGGGACUGAGACACGGCCCAAACUCCUACGGGAGGCAGCAGUGGGGAAUAUUGGACAAUGGGCGCAAGCCUGAUCCAGCCAUGCCGCGUGAGUGAUGAAGGCCCUAGGGUUGUAAAGCUCUUUCACCGGUGAAGAUAAUGACGGUAACCGGAGAAGAAGCCCCGGCUAACUUCGUGCCAGCAGCCGCGGUAAUACGAAGGGGGCUAGCGUUGUUCGGAAUUACUGGGCGUAAAGCGCACGUAGGCGGACAUUUAAGUCAGGGGUGAAAUCCCGGGGCUCAACCCCGGAACUGCCUUUGAUACUGGGUGUCUAGAGUAUGGAAGAGGUGAGUGGAAUUCCGAGUGUAAAGGUGAAAUUCGUAAAUAUUCCGGAGCAUCACCAGUGGCGAAGGCGGCUCAUGGGUCCUUAUUGACGCUGAAGUGCGAAAAGCGUGGGGAGCCAACAGGAUUAAAAACCCUGGUAAUUCCCC
rnacentral:rRNA from 1 species